GACGAACGCUGGCGGCGUGCCUAAUACAUGCAAGUCGGACGCUGAAGGAGGAGCUUGCUUCUCUGGAUGAGUUGCGAACGGGUGAGUAACGCGUAGGUAACCUGCCUGGUAGCGGGGGAUAACUAUUCGAAACGAUAGCUAAUACCGCAUAAUAGUAGAUGUUGCAUGACAUUUGCUUAAAAGGUGCAAUUGCAUCACUACCAGAUGGACCUGCGUUGUAUUAGCUAGUUGGUGGGGUAACGGCUCACCAAGGCGACGAUACAUAGCCGACCUGAGAGGGUGAUCGGCCACACUGGGACUGAGACACGGCCCAGACUCCUACGGGAGGCAGCAGUAGGGAAUCUUCGGCAAUGGACGGAAGUCUGACCGAGCAACGCCGCGUGAGUGAAGAAGGGUUUCGGAUCGUAAAGCUCUGUUGUAAGAGAAGAACGAGUGUGAGAGUGGAAAGUUCACACUGUGACGGUAGCUUACCAGAAAGGGACGGCUAACUACGUG
rnacentral:rRNA from 1 species